CGUAUAGGUCGUAUAGGUCGUGUAGUUGACUGAGAUAUGAAUAAACAAUUUUCUACCCAAACGCGUACUGUCAUAUCCGUCGUAUGGGUCGUAUUGCUAUACAUAUUCUACAUACAUAUUGUAUACAACAAAGAAGCCGGUAGGGACAGUGAUCCGAGGUCAGAGAAGUGAGUGGAAUAUUUAGUGUUUUAGUGCGUUGUUCGUGUGUGACACACGUGCUCUAUCUUGAAUUCUAAUGUUAUGGCAGUAUGUGAAGCUAUGUGUCGACAUAUCUGUAUUUGCAAAAUAUAGUUUUUGGUCAAUGCAUUGUAGAAGCUGAUCCAUUCAUGAACAUGCACAAAAUAACUGCAACAGGGAGGCAGAAGAGCUCCUACAUUUCUCUGAUUCUCAUCACAAUUUUAGUUUGGAUCUUGUGUCCAAUUCACACCACCCAUGUUCUCACCUUUCUUGUGUGUGAACAUAAAAUCUCAUAUCUGUUGUUGUUAAUGAAAGAAUGAAGUGUAAAAUAUUUGUGAAAAAUAUGCAAGAAUUUAUGGGACUCAAGCCAGCAUGCAGUAUUUCAGCAGAAGUUCUCAAGAAGGCUUUCAUGGACUAGAUGAACAGAGACCAUGAAUAAGACUGGGAGUCCACAAGAGACUCAGAUAUAUGGAGGGUUUCCUACAAGAAUCCUGCACUAAAAUAAUUCUGGAACUAUUAAAACUAAAUAGAAACCAAAGUACAUUAAAGUGGAGAUGAAAUCACUUUGAAUAAGACAUUGAAAAUGGUGGCCAUCUAGGUUCAUAAUCAGUAUAGUUCAUAUUUUUAAAGUAUUUCAGGAUACAGUAGCAGUUUUACUGCCAUGGGUAGAUUGCUUGCAUUGACACUAUUUUCAGUCUAUCUGUGAACACAGGAGUGUAUGUACUGAUAGUUCCUCAGAACUCUAGCCAUGGUAGAGGGGUCAUACCAUCUCUCGCAGAGCUGGGGGAGCCAUCUGAUCAGCGUACAUCAGUGUGGGUACUACCAGUUUGGAAUGUAGCAUCUUGGAAUGGUCAGUUGUAUAGUACAUUGUGUAUCUACCCCUGGUCUCCGUAGGCAGUGUUUUCCGCUCGGGGAGUAGCUCUGAAUGUCAUCACAACAAGCGUACAGCUUCGCAUGCUCCACAAGAGAAGCAUAUUGAAAGCCAAAAGGAGUCACUGAACAUUUCCAAGGCACCUGUUGUGAAACAUUAUGACUCUGGGGUAUGCGAUUUAAGUUCAUAAAAAUAAGUCAGUAAUUGCUAACACAGUGAUGCUUCUGAAGAAUUAUACUCUGCUACAUCAAGGGAUUGAAUCUAUCAGAAAUACCUGUAACAGCUGAAAUAAGGUAUGCCAUAAAAAACAGUGGUCACCAGAUAAAGUCAGUGAUGAGGACUGUCACAGAAUUGUCAGGAGACAGCAAUGUGCUGGAAGUUCAAAAAAUGUACCUCCAGUAAGGCAGAACAUAAUUGUUGUAGAACCACAAUGAGAAGACUCAGUAAAACUAUCAGCGAUAGAGAACAGGAAGAAGUUCAUGCUAUUUGUGCAGUAGGGUAAUAGCAGUACCCGUUUUGUAGCCACGAUGGCUCAGUCAGGAUUGUGACUGGUAUACGUGCCGAAUAACUGAGGAACUGGUUCUGUUUCCAGUCAUGGGAAGAUAUUUGUUUCUUUUCCACAGGAUCCAGACCAGCAUUAAGACCCAUCCACCCUCUUAUCCAGUGGAUACUCAGGGUCAUUCCCCUGGGAUAAAGCAGCCAAUGCGUGAAGCUGACAACUCCCCUCUGUCUAGUGCCAAGAUUAUGAAGGUAUGGGGCUAUAUCUCUGUUUGCCACUAUGUCUUCAUGACAUGAGGCUUUUUUAAGAACAGGGACAACUUUACAGCACUCAUUUUUCUCCUGCAGAGAAGUGCUAUGAAAAGUUUCUUUGAGGAUAUAAAAUUCCUUCACAUUCAUCAGAUCAUUUCUUACUAUUCGUCAUUUUUAAAAAAUGCUAUAUGUUACACAGAAGUAAAGAAAUAUUUGGCUCAUCAGAACAAAAGAAGUGUAUGCAUUUCUUGGAGUGCAGUUUUAGCACAGUUUUCGCUGUUUGCCAAAGAUUGAGGAUUACAGGUCAGGUGACUUAGAUUGGCUAGUCCCAACAGUGCAGCCAUGCAUGCAACAGAUACUUCGAAUCUCCUUGCACAUCUUCAUGUAAUAAUGACUCUCUGUCACACAGGAACAGAGAAAAUGUGUUGGAAGACUGAUCUGCCAUACGUAGCUCAAACAGGAAUUUUCAGGAACUUUGAAAUCCUUGUCACUAUGUGAAAUGUAUUGGAAAUCCAAAAAUUGUCACUUAUCUGUCCAUUUAUUUCACAGAAGAAAAGAUAAAUUUUCUGGAGAUUUGGUGUUGAAUGACAAUAUGAAUGGCAAAAUAAGAAGAUAAAAAAAGGCAAUAGUAGAGAGAUACUGUGUUCAUUAAAGAUGGUUGAGUCCAGGAUUCAUUCAGAGUGUACACAAUGCAGACUCUCUUUGUGUGAAUAAAAAGGAGAAUUUGAAGAGAAACAGCUGCAAGAUACAGAAGGAUUAUAUCAACUGAUAAUAUUAUGAGCAUCUUUAUUAUAAGCAUGUUCUGUUUUCCUUAAUUUCUUAGAAACUUUCUAUUUUUGUGAUUUCCUUUUUUAUUUCAUUUCGACUAUGGUAUUUGCAGAAGUAUGAAAGCCUUAUUAUUAUCAAGAAGGUCGAUAAACUGUGACAUAUAAAAGGAUUGUAGUAUUUAAGGUUCUCACAGUAGUGGUUUUGCAGAAUUCUGUCCUCUGGGACAUAACACCAUGUAGUCCAUUGAAAGUCAGUCGAGGUUUCAGAACGACAUAUCGCCUCCAUCUUCAUGGUUGAAGA